rnacentral:rRNA from 1 species
GAUGAACGCUGGCGGCGUGCCUAAUACAUGCAAGUCGAGCGAACAGACGAGGAGCUUGCUCCUCUGACGUUAGCGGCGGACGGGUGAGUAACACGUGGAUAACCUACCUAUAAGACUGGGAUAACUUCGGGAAACCGGAGCUAAUACCGUAUAAUAUAUUGAACCGCAUGGUUCAAUAGUGAAAGACGGUUUUGCUGUCACUUAUAGAUGGAUCCGCGCCGCAUUAGCUAGUUGGUAAGGUAACGGCGUACCAAGGCAACGAUGCGUAGCCGACCUGAGAGGGUGAUCGGCCACACUGGAACUGAGACACGGUCCAGACUCCGACGGGAGGCAGCAGUAGGGAAUCUUCCGCAAUGGGCGAAAGCCUGACGGAGCAACGCCGCGUGAGUGAUGAAGGUCUUCGGAUCGUAAAACUCUGUUAUUAGGGAAGAACAAAUGUGUAAGUAACUAUGCACGUCUUGACGGUACCUAAUCAGAAAGCCACGGCUAACUACGUG